rnacentral:rRNA from 1 species
UACGUAGGGUGCAAGCGUUGUCCGGAAUUAUUGGGCGUAAAGAGCUCGUAGGCGGUUUGUCGCGUCUGCCGUGAAAGCCCUGGGCUCAACCUGGGAAUUGCAGUGGAUACUGGCAAGCUAGAGUGCGGUAGAGGAUGGUGGAAUUCCCGGUGUAGCGGUGAAAUGCGUAGAGAUCGGGAGGAACACCUGUGGCGAAGGCGGCCCCCCUGGGCCGGCCCUGACACUGAGACGCGAAGGCGUGGGGAGCGAACGGG